GACCAGACUCCUACGGGAGGCAGCAGUGGGGAAUAUUGGGCAAUGGGCGCAAGCCUGACCCAGCAACGCCGCGUGAAGGAAGAAGGCUUUCGGGUUGUAAACUUCUUUUCUCAGGGACGAAGAAAGUGACGGUACCUGAGGAAUAAGCCACGGCUAACUACGUGCCAGCAGCCGCGGUAAUACGUAGGUGGCAAGCGUUAUCCGGAUUUAUUGGGUGUAAAGGGCGUGUAGGCGGGAGCGCAAGUCAGAUGUGAAAACCACGGGCUCAACCUGUGGCCUGCAUUUGAAACUGUAGUUCUUGAGUGCUGGAGAGGCAGGCGGAAUUCCUGGGGUAGCGGUGAAAUGCGUAGAUAUUAGGAGGAACACCGGUGGCGAAGGCGGUCUGCUGGACAGCAACUGACGCUGAGGCGCGAAAGCGUGGGGAGCAAACAGGAUUAGAUACCCGGGUA
rnacentral:rRNA from 1 species